rnacentral:rRNA from 1 species
AUACGUAGGUGGCAAGCGUUGUCCGGAAUUAUUGGGCGUAAAGCGCGCGCAGGUGGUUCCUUAAGUCUGAUGUGAAAGCCCCCGGCUCAACCGGGGAGGGUCAUUGGAAACUGGGGAACUUGAGUGCAGAAGAGGAUAGUGGAAUUCCAAGUGUAGCGGUGAACUGCGUAGAGAUUUGGAGGAACACCAGUGGCGAAGGCGACUGUCUGGUCUGUAACUGACACUGAGGCGCGAAAGCGUGGGGAGCAAACAGGAUUAGAUACCCUGGUAGUCCACGCCGUAAACGAUGAGUGCUAAGUGUUGGGGGGUUUCCGCCCCUCAGUGCUGCAGCUAACACAUUAAGCACUCCGCCUGGGGAGUACGGUCGCAAGACUGAAACUAAAAUGAAUUGGCGGG